rnacentral:rRNA from 1 species
AGUGAACGCUGGCGGCAGGCCUAACACAUGCAAGUCGAGCGGCAGCGCGUCCGACCACCCUCGGGUGGUCGGAUGGCGGCGAGCGGCGGACGGGUGAGGAAUGCAUCGGAAUCUGCCUCGUUGUGGGGGAUAACGUAGGGAAACUUACGCUAAUACCGCAUACGACCUACGGGUGAAAGUGGGGGACCUUCGGGCCUCACGCGAUGAGAUGAGCCGAUGCCGGAUUAGCUAGUUGGCGGGGUAAAGGCCCACCAAGGCGACGAUCCGUAGCUGGUCUGAGAGGAUGAUCAGCCACACUGGAACUGAGACACGGUCCAGACUCCUACGGGAGGCAGCAGUGGGGAAUAUUGGACAAUGGGGGCGAACCCUGAUCCAGCCAUGCCGCGUGUGUGAAGAA